UACGAAGGGGGCUAGCGUUGCUCGGAAUCACUGGGCGUAAAGCGCACGUAGGCGGAUCUUUAAGUCAGGGGUGAAAUCCUGGAGCUCAACUCCAGAACUACCUUUGAUACUGGGGAUCUCGAGUCCGGAAGAGGUGAGUGGAACUCCGAGUGUAGAGGUGAAAUUCGUAGAUAUUCGCAAGAACACCAGUGGCGAAGGCGGCUCACUGGCCCGGUACUGACGCUGAGGUGCGAAAGCGUGGGGAGCAAACAGG
rnacentral:rRNA from 1 species